rnacentral:lncRNA from 1 species
GGAGAUUAAAAAAAGGAGGACAAGACAAGAAACAAUAAAAGAAAUGAUCCAUGCAGUCAUUUAGUUUAUUAGGCAGCAAAAGCAAUUAACCCAGCACAGCUGAGUCAAUCAAUAGAUCCCAUUACACAAGCGCGCACCGGUUCCACAGAUUGUUUUUCUCCCACACAUAUACACUUUUAUGAUAAAUUAAUUCAUCAACAAUUUUUGGAGCAGAAGCAUCUGCGGCGGAAACCGCGGCAUUGGCCUCCGGUGAAGCCCUCUGAUUUGCAAGAUUGCACACAGCUACUUGUCAAAAAGCACAUCCCCUUGAAUUUUUGGCUCUGAGAAUCACAUGUCCUCUUCUCUGGCUCAACCUUCUUAGCGUCCCUUCCCUCCACAGCCAUCGGUCCCAUCUCUGUCAAAUCAACAUCCAUGCAUGCAUCCGUAAUUUGAUUAAUUAAUCUACAUACAUAAUUAAUGUAGUGAUCAAAUUAAUUAAGAAGGGAAUUAAAAGAUAUACCGGUAGCCACCAAAAGCAGGACAAGAACGAAGGCAGCUGAGACAAGGCGGAUGGAGCGAUCCAUCUUGAUCUGUGUGUAUGUGUGUGUGUGCGCGCUUGAUCUGUGUGUAUGUGUGUGCUUGUGUAUGCAGUAGAGAUC